rnacentral:lncRNA from 1 species
AAAUAUGGUGUGCACACGUGUGGGGAAGUCUUGAGUACCCCCAAAUUGUGAGAAAUUGAGUGAAAUUGAGAGAGCACGCCAAGUGGCCGAUAAAAUUGCCCAAAUGAAUCAAUAACUAGUUAUUUUUGCAUUAUAGGGCCAUGAUCAAACACUUAGAAUGCGUGUUUCAUGUUUUUAAUGAUUGAUUCUUAUUCUAGAUCACAUUUUGGCCAUAAAAAUGGAUUGUUAAACUGGUGAAAAACUGGCAUGGUCUGGUCUUAGGUACCACGAUUGCGGCCCUUGGGACCGCGAUCACUGCAUACGCGAUCACUGUU